rnacentral:rRNA from 1 species
CCUACGGGCGACUGCAGUGGGGAAUAUUGGGCAAUGGGCGCAAGCCUGACCCAGCAACGCCGCGUGAAGGAAGACGGCUUUCGGGUUGUAAACUUCUUUUAAGAGGGAAGAGCAGAAGACGGUACCUCUUGUAUAAGCCACGGCUAACUACGUGCCAGCAGCCGCGGUAAUACGUAGGUGGCAAGCGUUGUCCGGAUUUGCUGGGUGUAAAGGGCGUGCAGCCGGGAAGAAAAGUCAGCUGUGAAAUCCCGCGGCGAAACCGCGGAACGGUAUGUGAAACUGUUUUUCUUGAGUACAGGUGAGGUAGGCGGAAUUGUUGGUGGAGGGGUAAAACGCUGAGAUAUCA